rnacentral:rRNA from 1 species
AUUGAACGCUGGCGGCAGGCCUAACACAUGCAAGUCGAGCGCGAAAGUCUUCGGAUGAGUAAAGCGGCGGACGGGUGAGUAAUGCAUGGGAAUCUGCCUGGUAGUGGGGGACAACGUUUCGAAAGAGACGCUAAUACCGCAUACGCCCUACGAGGGAAAGGGGGGGAUCUUCGGACCUCUCGCUACCAGACGAGCCCAUGUCAGAUUAGCUAGUUGGUAGGGUAAAGGCCUACCAAGGCGACGAUCUGUAACUGGUCUGAGAGGAUGAUCAGUCACACUGGAACUGAGACACGGUUCAGACUCCUACGGGAGGCAGCAGUGGGGAAUAUUGGACAAUGGGGGCAACCCUGAUCCAGCCAUGCCGCGUGUGUGAAGAAGGCCCUAGGGUUGUAAAGCACUUUCAGUGGGGAGAAAGGUAAUUCACCUAAUACGUGAGUUAAUUGAUGCUACCCACAGAAGAAGCACUGGCUAACUCCGUGCCAGCCGCCGCCGUAA